GACGAACGCUGGCGGCGUGCUUAACACAUGCAAGUCGAACGGAAAGGCCCUGCUUUUGUGGGGUGCUCGAGUGGCGAACGGGUGAGUAACACGUGAGUAACCUGCCCUUGACUUUGGGAUAACUUCAGGAAACUGGGGCUAAUACCGGAUAGGAGCUCCUGCUGCAUGGUGGGGGUUGGAAAGUUUCGGCGGUUGGGGAUGGACUCGCGGCUUAUCAGCUUGUUGGUGGGGUAGUGGCUUACCAAGGCUUUGACGGGUAGCCGGCCUGAGAGGGUGACCGGCCACAUUGGGACUGAGAUACGGCCCAGACUCCUACGGGAGGCAGCAGUGGGGAAUAUUGCACAAUGGGCGGAAGCCUGAUGCAGUAACGCCGCGUGCGGGAUGACGGCCUUCGGGUUGUAAACCGCUUUCGCCUGUGACGAAGCGUGAGUGGCGGUAAUGGGUAAAGAAGCACCGGCUAACUACGUG
rnacentral:rRNA from 1 species